rnacentral:sRNA from 1 species
GCAGGGCAUAGUGAGGCAUGCCUGUAAUCCCAGCAAUUGGGAGGCUGAGGCAGGAGGAUCACAAGUUUAAGGCCAUCCUCAGCAACUUAAGCUCUAAGCAAUUUGGUAAGACUCUGUCUCAA